GGAUAGUCAGGUAUUAUCCUGGACCACGUGAGGCAAUAUGGAACGCAGCCUGCACGUGAAGCUGAGCAUCACUCUCCUGCCCUGUGCACAGAACGUUGCAGAUGCCAACACCAAUGGGACGCAAAAUUCUGCCCACAGCACUCCCAUGUGUGCUGAUGAGACAAGAACUGACCAGGAAAGGUCUCAACCAGCUGGAAACAAUUCUCUGACCUUUUUUGUGUGAAGUGCAAUGGUGAUAGCACUGUGCAGCGAGGAGUUCUGAAUGAUGGAAAUGCAGAGAUGUCUGCUGAGGUUUGCAUACUGCUGCCGCCACGCAGAGGAGAUCUCAUACUGA
rnacentral:lncRNA from 1 species